CGGCAGCAUGAAGCUCUACAUUCUUCUAGCACUGGCUAGCACAGCAUUCGCAGCUUCUGGCAUUCCUGAGCGAUGCCAACUGCCAGCCCACCCGGGAUUCUGCAAAAUGUUGUUGCUGAGAUGGUGGUACAACGCGGAAGCAGGGCAGUGCGAAGAGUUCUUCUUCGGCGGUUGCACCGGAAAUGCGAACAAUUUCGAAACUAAAGAGCUGUGCGAAAAGACCUGCUCCGAACCGAACA
rnacentral:lncRNA from 1 species